UCAUUUAUAGUACUUCUUUACGCCAACAACACAAAAUUCAAAUGUAACACAUAUAUACAUUCCUUUAAUCUUCACUUCUCGUCGUGUAUCAAAUUACUUAAUAAUUCUCUAACCAAUUUUUUUAUUCAAAGGUAUAUCAAUUUUCUUUUCUCGUCAACAACGUACACGCAUACAAGUCUAAGCCUAACACACGUCGAGUCUUUAAUAGUAUUCAAUAUAGUACACUGAGUGGUUUCCCACAAACAACCAACAAAUUAGUUUCCGUCUCGUCUACACUAUUUUCAUAGUGAGUUAGAUCAGUUACUAAUUUGUAUAUACCUCCGCUCUUUGAAGGAAUUGUU
rnacentral:lncRNA from 1 species